GAAAUGCGAUAAGUAAUGUGAAUUGCAGAAUUCAGUGAAUCAUCGAGUCUUUGAACGCACAUUGCGCCCCCUGGUAUUCCGGGGGGCAUGCCUGUCCGAGCGUCAUUGCUGCCCUCAAGCACGGCUUGUGUGUUGGGCCCCCGUCCCCCUCUCCCGGGGGACGGGCCCGAAAGGCAGCGGCGGCACCGCGUCCGGUCCUCGAGCGUAUGGGGCUUUGUCACCUGCUCUGUAGGCCCGGCCGGCGCCAGCCGACACCCAACUUUAUUUUUCUAAGGUUGACCUCGGAUCAGGUAGGGAUACCCGCUGAACUUAA
rnacentral:misc_RNA from 1 species